rnacentral:rRNA from 1 species
GUAGGAGCCAAGCGUUAUCCGAAUUCACUGGGCGUAAAGCGCGUGCAGGCGGCACGGCAAGUUGGAUGUGAAAGCUCCUGGCUCAACUGGGAGAGGACGUUCAAUACUGUCGAGCUAGAGGACGGCAGAGGGAGGUGGAAUUCCCGGUGUAGUGGUGAAAUGCGUAGAUAUCGGGAGGAACACCAGUGGCGAAGGCGGCCUUCUGGGCCGUACCUGACGCUCAGACGCGAAAGCUAGGGGAGCAAACGGGAUUAGAAACCCCGGUAGUCCUAGCCGUAAACGAUGUAGACUUGGUGUAGGUGGUGUAAAAGCCAUCUGUGCCGAAGCAAACGCGAUAAGUCUACCGCCUGGGGACUACGGCCGCAAGGUUA